ensembl:lncRNA
AUUGUUGUUUUUUUUCCUUACACUGUUUCUUACAGAGUCUUAAAACUUACUGCUUCCUCAACUACCGAGGCUGGGCUUGUUGCACUCACUUGAGCUACGGAUCACUGAGUACACUUUGUACCUUUGCAUGCCAGUUUGAGAAAAAUCAAUUUUAGUCUUGCAGAGAUGAAACCAGUGUUGCAGAAGAUCAGUGCACAUUUCCAGGUGCUGCAGGGCACUACCAUCCUGAUGGAGAUUCAACAAAACAUGACAUAGGGGAGGGUCGGGUUGAAGUUUCACGAGAAGGUUCUUCAGCGAGAGAGUGCUCGGCAUUUGGAAGAGUUCAAAAGCAAAAUUGGCCCAGCUGGUGUUAGUGGACAGCUGCAUUAAACUUCCCAUGGGAGCCAGCUGGAAGAGCAUAUGGAACUAACAGAUAUGCUUUGGACUGCAAAUGAAGACAUAUGGUUCCUAAAGCCAGUGCAGAAAUCUGAGGAAAAAGACUUUCACAGGCCACAGAGACUUCAAAACUCUCGCUUGCUUUUGAAGAUUUUUUUCUUUUUCAAGGUUUCCUCAUUGCGAAAAUGCUAUUCAACUGAGAUGAUUCAGAGCUCAAGGGCUUUUAAGCCUUAGAAGCUAUAAUUAUUAUAGAGAAUAUUUGAAAUUUUGUACCAAAG